AAGGGCUUUUAUGUAUGUUAUAAACUUUUAUCUUCAUCUACCCAGAGAAUGUAUGAAUGUAAAAAUUAUAUAUCACCUUAUAGAUGUCAUAUAUAUAUUUCCAUAUGGGUUUAUGUAGAUUUACAGAUGCAUGUGACAAACACUGACUGAAUUACUGCUCUGCUCUCGUUUCUUAAAGGAUUCUUCUUCAUCUUCGUCAUCAAGUAGCUCCUCAUCUUCUUCUGACAGCGAUGAUGAGAAGAAGAAGAAGAAGAAAAAGAAGAAGAAGAAAAAGAAGAAGAAGAAGAAGCAUAAGAAAAAGGAGUCCAGCUCCUCUUCAUCAUCCGACAGCAGCUCCUCCUCCUCCUCAGACAGCGACGAUGACAAGAAGAAGAAGAAGAAGAAGAAGAAGAAAACUGAAAAAGACAAGAAGGACAAGAAAAAGAAGAAAGACAAGAAGGAAAAGAAGAAGAAAGACAAGAAGAGUAAAAAGGUGGUUAAUCAUUAGUUAAGACUGGUUUAAACCUGCAGUACUGGUUUAACACCUGGUUAACCUGCAGUGCUGGUGGUUAGUGAAAAAGAUGCAAAGAAAAUGUUGCAACUUGCUUUAUAAAGUCAAUAACUCAAAAAUAAGCGAUUUUACCAGCGUUGUUAAAGUAUAAUUAAGAUGCUUAAAUAUUUUUUAUUAAUUUUGAAUUUAGUUUUUAUUUUGGUAUUUUCAUUUUAAAUAGUUAAAAAAAUUGCAAUUUAGUUUUUUC
ensembl:lncRNA